rnacentral:rRNA from 1 species
UGAGUACGAGACGCUAAGGCGUCGAAGUAGUGUAUGUCAUACUUCCAAGAAAAGCUUGCACUGUCAUUCAUAAAAAAUGCCUGUACCAUAACCGACACAGGUGGGUAGGUAGAGUAUACUAAGGGGCGCGAGAUAACUCUCUCUAAGGAACUCGGCAAAAUAACUCCGUAACUUCGGGAGAAGGAGUGCCUUAUUUAUAUAAGGUUGCAAUAACAAGAUCCAAGCAACUGUUUACCAAAAACACAGGUCUCCGCUAAGUCGUAAGACGAUGUAUGGGGGCUGACGCCUGCCCAGUGCCAGAAGGUUAAAGAAGUUGGUUAGCAAUAGCGAAGCUGAUAACUGAAGCCCUGGUGAACGGCGGCCGUAACUAUAACGGUCCUAAGGUAGCGAAAUUCCUUGUCGGGUAAGUUCCGACCCGCACGAAAGGCGUAAUGAUUUGGAUACUGUCUCGGAGAGGGACUCGGUGAAAUAGACUUGUCUGUGAAGAUGCGGACUACCUGCACCUGGACAGAAAGACCCUAUGAAGCUUUACUGUAACUUGAAAUUGAAAUUGGACUUUAUUCGCGCAGUAUAGGUGGGAGGCGUUGAAAAUAAUCUUGCGGGACUAUUGGAGCCAUCAGUGAGAUACCACUCUUAUAAUGUUAGAUUUCUAACUUUGAAUCAUUAUCUGGUCAAAGAACAGUUUCAGGCGGGCAGUUUGACUGGGGCGGUCGCCUCCCAAACGGUAACGGAGGCGUACAAAGGUUUCCUCUGAACGGGUAGAAAUCGUAUCUAGAGUAUAAAGGCAAAAGGAAGCUUGACUGUGAGACCUACAAGUCGAGCAGGGACGAAAGUCGGUCUUAGUGAUCUGACGGUACUGAGUGGAAAGGCCGUCACUCAACGGAUAAAAGUUACUCUAGGAUAACAGGCUGAUCUCCCCCAAGAGUUCACAUCGACGGGGAGGUUUGGCACCUCGAUGUCGGCUCAUCGCAUCCUGGGGCGGUAGUACGUCCCAAGGGUUGGGCUGUUCGCCCAUGAAAGCGGUACGCGAGCUGGGUUCAGAACGUCGUGAGACAGUUCGGUCCAUAUCCGGUGUAGGCGUUAGAAUAUUGAGAGGAGCCUUCUUUAGUACGAGAGGACCGAGAAGGACAUACCUCUGGUGUACCAGUUAUCGUGCCAACGGUAAACGCUGGGUAGCUAUGUAUGGAGUGGAUAACCGCUGAAAGCAUCUAAGUGGGAAGCCCACCUCAAGAUGAG